rnacentral:rRNA from 1 species
GGAGUUUUUUCGGGUGGCAACACCUGGAAAAACUUAGUGGCGAACGGGUGAGUAAUGCGUGGGUAACGUGCCCUGAACUCGGGGAUAGCGGCGGGCUUCGGCCCUUUAGCGAAAGUGCCGGUAAUACCCGAUGACAUCUGCGAAUCGCAUGUUUCGCAGCUCAAAGUUUUUCGGUUUGGGAGCGGCCCACGUCCUAUCAGCUUGUUGGUGGGGUAACAGCCUACCAAGGCUCUGACGGGUAGCCGGCGUGAGAGCGUGAUCGGCCACAUCGGGACUGAGACACUGCCCGGACACCUACGGGUGGCUGCAGCAACGAAUAAUCCGCAAUGGGCGAAAGCCUGACGGUGCGACGCCGCGUGAAGGAUGAAGUUCUUCGGGAUGUAAACUUCAGUAGUAUGUCAGGAAGAUCUGACCAGCAUACGAAAGGGGUGGCUAACUCCGUGCCAGCAGCCGCGGUAACACGGAGACCCCUAGCGUUGUUCGGAAUCACUGGGCUUAAAGAGCGUGUAGGCGGGACGGAAAGUACCUUGUGAAAUCCCCCGGCUCAACCGGGGAAUGGCUUGGUAUACUAUCGUUCUUGAGGCAGGUAGGGGCUGCUGGAACCUUAGGUGGAGCGGUGAAAUGCGUAGAUAUCUAAGGGAACGCCUGUGGCGAAAGCGGGCAGCUGGACCUGUUCUGACGCUGAGACACGAAAGCGUAGGGAGCGAACGGGAUUAGAUACCCCGGUAGUCUACGCCGUAAACGAUGCGCACUA